GACGAACGCUGGCGGCGUGCUUAACACAUGCAAGUCGAGCGGUAAGGCCUUUCGGGGUACACGAGCGGCGAACGGGUGAGUAACACGUGGGUGAUCUGCCCUGCACUUCGGGAUAAGCCUGGGAAACUGGGUCUAAUACCGGAUAUGACCUCCUAUCGCAUGGUGGGUGGUGGAAAGAUUUAUCGGUGCAGGAUGGGCCCGCGGCCUUUCAGCUUGUUGGUGGGGUAAUGGCCUACCAAGGCGACGACGGGUAGCCGACCUGAGAGGGUGACCGGCCACACUGGGACUGAGACACGGCCCAGACUCCUACGGGAGGCAGCAGUGGGGAAUAUUGCACAAUGGGCGAAAGCCUGAUGCAGCGACGCCGCGUGAGGGAUGACGGCCUUCGGGUUGUAAACCUCUUUCAGCAGGGACGAAGCGCAAGUGACGGUACCUGCAGAAGAAGCACCGGCUAACUACGUG
rnacentral:rRNA from 1 species